UUCCAGACUCCUACGGGAGGCAGCAGUGGGGGAUAUUGCACAAUGGGGGAAACCCUGAUGCAGCGACGCCGCGUGAGUGAAGAAGUAAUUCGUUAUGUAAAGCUCUAUCAGCAGGGAAGAAAAUGACGGUACCUGAGUAAGAAGCCCCGGCUAACUACGUGCCAGCAGCCGCGGUAAUACGUAGGGGGCAAGCGUUAUCCGGAUUUACUGGGUGUAAGGGGAGCGUAGACGGCAGUGCAAGUCUGGAGUGAAAUGCCGGGGCCCAACCCCGGAACUGCUUUGGAAACUGUGCAGCUCGAGUGCAGGAGAGGUAAGCGGAAUUCCUAGUGUAGCGGUGAAAUGCGUAGAUAUUAGGAGGAACACCAGUGGCGAAGGCGGCUUACUGGACUGUAACUGACGUUGAGGCUCGAAAGCGUGGGGAGCAAACAGGAUUAGAUACCCCAGUA
rnacentral:rRNA from 1 species